rnacentral:rRNA from 1 species
CAAUAGCGUAUAUUUAAGUUGUUGCAGUUAAAAAGCUCGUGGUUGGAUUUCGGGUGGGACGCAGCGGUCUCGCAUUGCGUUUGUACUGCUGCAGCCCUCCUUCUUGCCGGGGGCGGCCUCUCGGACUUCACUGUCUGGGGGUCAGAAUCGGCGAUGUUACUUUGAGUAAAUUAGAGUGUUCAAAGCAAGCUUACGCUCUGAAUAUAAUAGCAUGGGAUAACACGACAGGACUCUGGCCUAUCGUGUUGGUCUAUAGGACCAGAGUAAUGAUUAAGAGGGACAGUCGGGGGCAUUCGUAUUCCGUUGUCAGAGGUGAAAUUCUUGGAUUUACGGAAGACGAACAUCUGCGAAAGCAUUUGCCAAGGAUGUUUUCAUUG